UGUUUCUCUCUCUCAGUAUGUAUGUUUGUCACCUGAAAUGCAACGAAGACAUCACACAGUAAAACAAAGAGCCUUUGAAGUCUUAAGUGCGGGCAAUUUACUCAGGAAAGAUCAGAGGGGUUAGCCAUAAAUAAAUACCUUUGACCUCAAGGGUGUGAAGAUAAUAAAAGCCCAGGGGGUUAGGAGGACCAUUGUGUUUUCUGAAAACAGCUAGUUUUGGUUUAAGUGGAAAUUUACAGAGAAGGAGCCUUGUAAGAAGUGGGGGUGAUAACAGUAUAAUAAGGCUGUCUGUUUUCAGUGUGUUUCAGGUUUGUUGUGUUUCAGGGUAACUGCUGAAACAGUGAACGCACCUCUUUAAGGAAAAUAAACUUCUUUCCUUAAAUAGAAUUUGAUUCCUUGUCUCUUACACUGAGAUGCUAUUUGUUAGUAAUUGUUUUUGCCAUAACAAUUUGGUGUCAGAAUAGUGGGAUCUCACGGUGGUUUCUUCUGGUCCUGAGCGGAUUUGACGAAGUGAUCAUCUCAGAGCACCAGGCUCUGGUCUUACCUCGAAAAUUGAGAGAGAAGAGCCAAAGAUGAGAUCAGAAAGAACCCGGUGGCAGUAAAAGCAUCUCAGGUGAAAGCUGGCCAGAGGAAGGUUGCUGAGACGUUUCUGCAUAAGAUCAGGCCGGGGGAUUACGUGGUAAUUCGUGACCUGAGGAGGAAGAACUGGAGGGCGAAACGGUGACGAGGGCCAUUCCAAGUUUUGCUGAGAACACACACGGCAGUGAAGGUGGGAGAGAGAGCUACGUGGGUGCACACCAGCCACUGCAGGAGGGUUCCGCCCAUAUCGGAAGGGCAACAGGAGGAGGAGCCUCAGCAACAACAACAACAACAAGUUCAAGAAUAAGCCUCAAGAUCGAGCUCAAACACCAAGUGCAAGAGCAAGGUCACUCAGAAGGAGUGAUAAGGCCGGUGAGCAGAGUAAAGCCAUUUGUGCAGCCACAACAAGAGACAUUGCAAAGAGCUGCAAUCACUAGACAAGAUGGAUAGUUCAAGACCGUGGUACCCAUUCAGACUGCCAGGAAUGUGUGGACUUUGUAAGACUACAUUCAUUUUGACUUUGCAACAAUUGAACCCAUGAGAGAGGCCGUAAGAGAACCCGAGCGGACUGACAACCUGUGGGCCGGAUGGGUUUAUGUCUUUGUGGGGAGGAUGGAUGUACUGGAUAAUUCAAACUGUUCUGCCAAUUGUAGUGAUAGGAAUUCUGAUCAUGUUUUGCUUGCAAUGAAUUAUGAGAUGUAUUUCCAGCUUAGUACAGAGAUAGGUCAAGGCUGGGACACCCAUACAAGCAGUAAAACUGACCACUUAUCCAAUAGAUAGUGAACACAAUUGUGAUGAUUAUGAGAGUGACGAGAGUGACAACAUUUACACAAAAUGUUAAGAUUGAUCAGGUAUACGAAAGUCAGACAUGAGGAGUAUAACUGUGAUGAAAUGACUUGAAACAAUUAUAAUAAUUUACGUUUUCGAUAUUAUAAUCAUGUGUGAGUUUGCAUAGAAUUAAAAACAAGUGAGUUUUUAAGUUGUUAUAAUCAAAACUAAUGUUAAUCCAAAUUGUUUAUCAGAGAAUGAUAAAGAGGAGGAAUUCUUGUAAAAAAAAUUAUAUUUUACUCUUUCUUAUUUACUUAGACAUUUAGUGGGUUUUCAUAUAUUUUUAUUUUUUCCUUUUGAUUUAACUUGUGUUUCUCUCUCAGUAUGUAUGUUUGUCUGCUGAACAUGUAUGUUUUAACUGCUGAAACAGUGAACGCACCUCUUUAAGGAAAAUAAACUUCUUUCCUUAAAUAGAA